rnacentral:rRNA from 1 species
GACGAACCGUGCGAACGUUAUUCGGAAUCAUUGGGCUUAAAGGGCGCGUAGGCGGCGGUGUAAGUUGGAAGUGAAAUCCCAUCGGCUCAACCGUGGAAUUGCUCCCAGUACUGCAUCGCUCGAGGGGGAUAGGGGUUUGCGGAACUACCGGUGGAGCGGUGAAAUGUGUUGAUAUCGGUGGGAACGCCAGUGGCGAAAGCGGGCAA